rnacentral:misc_RNA from 1 species
AAGUCGUAACAAGGUUUCCGUAGGUGAACCUGCGGAAGGAUCAUUACCAAAAUCCAAUAUAAACCAACCUGUGAACUACUGUUAUCCGCUGGCUGCAUGCUGUGUCAAGUCUGUGACUGGGCUCGUGAGUGGUGGGAGCUUACUUAUAAAGGUCACUUACCAUGUAACCUCUUAACGGGGGUUACAGCGCAGCUGUGCUAGUGUGUUUCCCCGCUCGUAUUCUACUCAUUUACACCUUGUACCUACUACUCGAACUGACCUGGUCACUUGAUAUUGUAUGGGCCUUUCGGGGCGCGUGCGAUUGAAAUGACUUAUUAUACGUAACUACGAACAACUCUUAACAACGGAUAUCUUGGCUCUC